CCUACGGGAGGCAGCAGUGAGGAAUAUUGGUCAAUGGCCGGAAGGCUGAACCAGCCAUGCCGCGUGAAGGUCAGUGCCCUAUGGGCGUUAAACUUCUUUUGUGCGGGAGCAAUAAUGGUCAAGUGUGGCCAGACGAGAGUACCGUACGAAUAAGCAUCGGCUAACUCCGUGCCAGCAGCCGCGGUAAUACGGGGGAUGCAAGCGUUAUCCGGCUUUAUUGGGGUUAAAGGGUGCGUAGGCUGUGAGGUAAGUCAGCGGUGAAAUGCCCCGGCUCAACGGGGUGAAGUGCCAUUGAUACUGCCUUGCUGGAAUGCGGAUGCCGUGGGAGGAAUGUGUGGUGUAGCGGUGAAAUGCAUAGAUAUCACACAGAACACCGAUUGCGAAGACAUCUCACGAAUCCGCGAUUGACGCUGAUGCACGAAAGCGUGGGUAUCAAACAGGAUUAGAUACCCCAGUAGUC
rnacentral:rRNA from 1 species